UUUAAAGGAUGCAUAAAGUCACGCGUCAGGGUGGAAAGACCAAAACGGCGUUUUUUUAACCUGAAAGCAAACUUUAUUUUCGUUUAUUAAAAGCAGAAAGCCAGCAGGAAAGCGUCGCCGAGGGUCUGUCCACGGAUCUUUCGGAUCCAAGUGUUCGGGAUGAGACUGGCCGAUCCGGGAAUCGCAUCCGGCGCCCACACCCCGCAAACUCGUGGGCAGUUGCGGGUGCAAGAGGCCGCGGAGGGGCGACGCGCCCGCGGGAACCCCUCCUUGCGCAUCUCCGGCGCCCCAGCUUCAGCCUAUUCUCGCCCGGACCCUUGGUUUAUUUGGUGAAAUCUGGGAACGUGGAGAGGAUAGAAGAGCAGUUUUUCUUUCUUUCCUUUUUUCUUUUUAACUAAAUGUGCGUGUUAACUCAUCGUUUCUUGGAUAUAAGUGUCCUCAGCGAAUUCUGGAUUCUUGGGGAAAACCUACGAGCACUGAGCAGGACAGGAACACGCCAACUUUGGUUCCAGUGCCAUCUGCAAUUUGACUUUCGUCAAUUGUUCCUGCCAGCUAUUUCGAUGAAAUAAAUGGAAUGUCGCUUAACAGGCAGAUGCUUUGAUACAUUUUCUUCUUAAAGGAUCUGAUUCCUGGCGUCCAAAGGAAACUGGAAUUUAAGAAAAUAACAGAAUGCGGAAUCUCAACAGUUGUUUUAAUGGCGGCUAGUUCGUCCCGUUCCAGAAGGCACAAUCCUUCGCCAUGGGACUUUGCUGCUCCCAUCCAGACGUGGAAUCUCUUCUCCACCCCCUGUAAUGCGGGCUGGCCUUUGUGACUGACUUUGACAAAUUUGAUAUAGUGGAACUGAUGUUUUCUAGUUCUGGAAUUGAGGCCUCAAGAAGCUUUGUGGCUGCCACCUUUGUCCUCUUGGAACGCCAUGCCACGCAGAAGCCCGGGAUGAAAGGUCAGGAGGAAGACGGAGGGACGCAGCUGUCUCUGCUGUUCGCUGAGUCCAGCUCCCCGCACCCCACUGAAUGCUGUCACACACAUGAGCCCAGGCAAAGUUGGCACAAAAAGCACACAGCCAACAGAGUCAUGAAAAAUAAAAAAAAAUCCUUGCUGUUUUAAGCCAGUAAGCUUUGAGGUGGUUUGUUAUAUAGCAAUAGUAACCAUACUUGUCUUGUUAUCUGCAAUUAUUUCAAUUGUAUAAAAUUGAGAGAGAAUUUGUUGAUAUGUCAGGUGUCUAAAUUGUGAUCAAAUCAAAGAGCUCUCAGUUUUUUGGUUUUUUUUUUUUUUUUUUUGAGUAAGAUUAGCCCUG